UUCACUGAAAUGUUUUGCUAAAUGUAAGAGAGAAUACUAUGCUUUAGAGAGGUGAGCAUUUUGGAGCCAUUGUAAGAGGUAUUGAAAUUGGUGUCCUUAGUAAUCAUUUCAAGACCAAAGUCCAAUAGCCUUGUUUUAAAUUUCAGGUGUCUUACUAUGUAGUCAAAUUUGCAUGCUUUGUACAAUAUCACCUUAAAGGCAAUUCCAUCUUCCAUUUCAUUGCCUUGUACUGACUAAUCCUUCUCAGUCCCUUUUAUCUUCUUUUCAUGCUCUGCUUUGAGUGGCAGGUCCUUCUCAAAAAGAACAGGAUUAAUUCAUGUCAUCCUCUGUCAUAACUUGGAAGAGGCAUGGAUAAGGAUAUUCAACAUAUCAUGUUGAAAAGGGUCUCACGAAUUCCGCU
rnacentral:sRNA from 1 species